AGAGUUUGAUCCUGGCUCAGAUUGAACGCUGGCGGCAUGCCUUACACAUGCAAGUCGAACGGCAGCGCGGGGCAACCUGGCGGCGAGUGGCGAACGGGUGAGUAAUAUAUCGGAACGUACCCUGGAGUGGGGGAUAACGUAGCGAAAGUUACGCUAAUACCGCAUACGAUCUAAGGAUGAAAGUGGGGGAUUCGCAAGAACCUCAUGCUCCUGGAGCGGCCGAUAUCUGAUUAGCUAGUUGGUGGGGUAAAGGCCUACCAAGGCAUCGAUCAGUAGCUGGUCUGAGAGGACGACCAGCCACACUGGAACUGAGACACGGUCCAGACUCCUACGGGAGGCAGCAGUGGGGAAUUUUGGACAAUGGGCGAAAGCCUGAUCCAGCAAUGCCGCGUGAGUGAAGAAGGCCUUCGGGUUGUAAAGCUCUUUUGUCAGGGAAGAAACGGUGUGGGCUAAUAUCCUGCACUAAUGACGGUACCUGAAGAAUAAGCACCGGCUAACUACGUGCCAGCAGCCGCGGUAAUACGUAGGGUGCAAGCGUUAAUCGGAAUUACUGGGCGUAAAGCGUGCGCAGGCGGUUUUGUAAGUCUGUCGUGAAAUCCCCGGGCUCAACCUGGGAAUUGCGAUGGAGACUGCAAGGCUAGAAUCUGGCAGAGGGGGGUAGAAUUCCACGUAGCAGUGAAAUGCGUAGAGAUGUGGAGGAACACCGAUGGCGAAGGCAGCCCCCUGGGUCAAGAUUGACGCUCAUGCACGAAAGCGUGGGGAGCAAACAGGAUUAGAUACCCUAGUAGUCC
rnacentral:rRNA from 1 species